AUUGAACGCUGGCGGCAGGCCUAACACAUGCAAGUCGAACGAGUGGCGGACGGGUGAGUAAUGUCUGGGAAACUGCCCGAUGGAGGGGGAUAACUACUGGAAACGGUAGCUAAUACCGCAUACCAUCGGAUGUGCCCAGAUGGGAUUAGCUGGUAGGUGGGGUAACGGCUCACCUGGGCGACGAUCCCUAGCUGGUCGGGGAGGAUGACCGGCCACACGGGAACUGAGACACGGUCCAGAUUCCUACGGGAGGCAGCGGUGGGGAAUAUUGGACAAGGGGCGCAAGCCUGAUGCAGCCAGGCCGCGUGUAUGAAGAAGGCUUUCGGGUUGUAAAGUACUUUCAGCGAGGAGGCGUUACUCGCAGAAGAAGCACCGGCUAACUCCGUGCCAGCAGCCGCGGUAAUUC
rnacentral:rRNA from 1 species